rnacentral:ncRNA from 16 species
AUUUUGAGUUUGUUUACGGGCGCUCGCGAACAGCAACUUGCUGGUAGCGACAUAAUAGGGAAGUCCCUUAAAGGGCACGGACCCGCCGCUGUAAUCGGCUACUAAGACCGCAUUUCACAGUUUAUUUCGUGAUAACAAGCCACUUCGCCCGGUUUUGACCGGGGUGGGAAGGCGCAGUCGUUAGGUUGACCCGAUAGUCAGAAGACCUACCCGUAAAUACUUCACAUUU